rnacentral:misc_RNA from 1 species
AAUCGACCUGGGACGUAAAAAAUUGUAAUCACAUAGUGAUGAGUUUGAACUUCAGUUUCAGCAUCUAGUUCUAUAGUGUAAAUCCAGUGGAAUGUCUGCUAGCCCUCCCCCCCCGCUCCACGUGUGGAACUGUGACGUCGAAAAAUUAAAGGAUUCUAUGAUGCAAAAUUUUCUCGUUACAUCUUCGUGUGACAAACGUUGGACAGAGACUGCUGAAACAGUGGGAAGUUGUUCUUUGGAAAACAACCAAAAUAACCGCCUGCUUGAGCUAAAUUGCAUAAAAUGUGACCGUAACCGGUUAGGAUCCUCAGAAACGCGAAAACAACAUGAAGAGUUGAGGUCGAUUCCAAAUGUUGUUCGAGUUAUUCGCUCACCAGGAGGCCAUGUCUUAGCUUUGUACCGUCAAUCAGAGGCACAGAAGCAAUUAUACAAGCGACACAGUAAUGUUCUCCUCAUCCAUUUGCUUCAUUCCGCCAAUGCUACCAAGACGUUAUUGGCUAUUUCCAUCGUCGAUAGUGAUAGCGGUGUAGAUUACACAGUUUGCCUCGUCACGUUACCGGUUCGUUUCCUUUCGGAAAUCGUCACACGCUGCUUGAGGAUGUUCAUAUCACAUAAUGAUCCUUCUGCCGUAAAAGCCGUUGUUGUGAAUCGAGAAGAGCUGUUACCCAAUGUAAGGAAAGCCUUCCCUAUGGCAGAUCAUUUAAUUUCAGAGAGUCGAAUGCUAGAACAGGUGUCAGAUGAAUUGUCGAAGUACGCAUUGGAACCAGACAUCCACAACCAGUACUGUAGUGCUUUCGCAGUUUGUUGUUCUACGUCCUGUGAAAAAGAAUUCGGCUAUGCAGAGGCAUCUCUGAUUUCAGCGCCAGGUGGAAUUGGCGUCUACUUUGAAACUACAUGGUUCGAGCAUACGGACAUUUGGAGAGCUAUCGAAAAUCUGCGUCGCAUAAAAAAAGGAUUAAAUUACGGAGAAGUAAGCAAACACCUUUACCGAAAGUUGGCUCAAACAAUGUUUUUUUAAAUGGCGUUGCCUGUCGAAGAUUUUUAUUGGAUGACUGAAUUCUUUUGCUGGUUCAGCGGUGAUAGUAGCUGUAACGGCAAAAAUAUCUCAACUUGUUAUGGAGAACUGUUAUUCUUCUGCAUAAAAACGUUGAGAUGAUGUACUGUACAUAACCACUUCCAACUGCUUUUGACCAAGAUCCUUCCUCUCUUCUCAAGUGUUUUUAUCUGUCGCAAUCGACAUGCGAUUUGUUUGACAGCAAAACUGUUUAGCUAUUAUCCCAAAAGGAUAUCAUCUUAUUUGUUUUGGUUUUCUUCUCUGUUUAACAAAUAUAAUUUUACUACAA